rnacentral:rRNA from 1 species
UACGUAGGGUGCGAGCGUUAAUCGGAAUUACUGGGCGUAAAGCGUGCGCAGGCGGUUCGUUAAGUCAGAUGUGAAAGCCCCGGGCUCAACCUGGGAACUGCAUUUGAAACUGGCGGGCUUGAGUGUGGCAGAGGGGGGUGGAAUUCCGCGUGUAGCAGUGAAAUGCGUAGAUAUCGGGAGGAACACCAGUGGCGAAGGCGGCCUUCUGGACCAGUACUGACGCUCAUGCACGAAAGCGUGGGGAGCAAACAGG